CCUCUCUAAAGUACCUACCUCCUUAGAGAAAUUUAAUUUCAGAAACAUUGCUAUCAUUAAAAUUUGGAACAAAAUUGCUGGUGAAAAAGUAGCGCACAGAUUAAAAAAAAAAAAAUCUUCGUAAAACUAUAAGCUUCUUCGCUCAAAAAAUUAAUACGAAUUGAUUGCAGAAAAAAACCCAAUAAGGGUGGAGGGUGGUUUAAACCCCAUGACCCCCCUCCCCGUGAGUACUUAAUGUACUAAUGUAAUUAAAUACAGUGGAUUCCGCCUAAUGUAGGCACUGGUUAAUAUGGGCAUCUGCGUAAUAUGGGUAAAAUGGUCUGGUCCCAAUACAAAUGUAUAUUAACAAGGUUAAAAAAAACACAUAUUAUAGAAACUCGAUUUGGUUUAUGUGGGCAAUUUUUAUUUUAUCAUAGCGCUAGAAUAUAUAUUUUAUAUAUACAUAUACAUAUGUAUUUAAAACGAC